ensembl:snRNA U6 U6 spliceosomal RNA
AACAAAAAAAAUUGGAACAAUACAGAGAUUAGCAUGGCCCCUAUGCAAGGAUGACACAAAUUCGCCAAGUAUUCCAUUAAAAA